AUACGGAGGGUGCAAGCGUUACUCGGAAUCACUGGGCGUAAAGCGCGCGCAGGCGGCUUGAUAAGUUGGAUGUGGAAGCCUACGGCUCAACCGUAGAACUGCAUCCAAAACUGUCAGGCUAGAGUGUGGGAGAGGAAGAUGGAAUUAGUUGUGUAGGGGUAAAAUCCGUAGAGAUAACUAGGAAUACCAAAAGCGAAGGCAAUCUUCUGGAACACUACUGACGCUGAGGCGCGAAGGCGUGGGGAGCAAACAGGAUUAGAAACCCCAGUAGUCC
rnacentral:rRNA from 1 species